UACGUAGGGCGCAAGCGUUGUCCGGAAUUAUUGGGCGUAAAGAGCUCGUAGGCGGUUUGUCGCGUCUGUCGUGAAAGCCCACGGCUUAACUGUGGGUCUGCGGUCGAUACGGGCAGGCUAGAGUUCGGUAGGGGAGACUGGAAUUCCUGGUGUAGCGGUGAAAUGCGCAGAUAUCAGGAGGAACACCGGUGGCGAAGGCGGGUCUCUGGGCCGAUACUGACGCUGAGGAGCGAAAGCGUGGGGAGCGAACAGG
rnacentral:rRNA from 1 species